AUUUUAAUCACCAGGAGGUCUUGUUAAAAUGCAGAUUCUGACUCAGAAGAUCUGGUUAAGAUUCUGUACUUCUCACAAGCUCCCAGGUGAUGUGAUC
rnacentral:pre_miRNA from 1 species